CCCGUUAACCAUACAUCUCGAGCUCCCCAUUCUUCUUCAUCUCUUUUCUUUAUCUGCCUCUCUCUCCCUCUCUUCUUUUCUCUUUUGCCAAUCAAAGAUUCUUCCAUAUGGAUCUGCAGAGUUCUGAUGAGUGUUAUUGAUAUUUGGUUGUCCCUGUUCAAAGAGAGAUGGGGAGAAUAAGAAAUUAGGGUUUCAGUGAUCGAUGGAUUUCAAAAAAUUAGGGUUUCAAUGAAGUAGUGAAAACGAAGGGAAAAAAUUAGCUGAAGUCUUGAGUAUAGAGAAAUGAAAGCCAGAAAAGGAUGAUUUAGAUCUUCAUCUUUCUAGGAUGAGCUGUUGCUGCUGAGUGGUUGAAAUGGGUCGAUAUAAUACAGAACAAACAAAUUUCAGUAAUCUAAGAAAACCAACUAAAUUCCCCCAAUUUUAUUAGGGUAUAAGGUUCGGCAGUAUGGGGAAGGGGAAGAUAUCACCUAAAUUUGUAGUCAUGAAGAGAUUAAUAAGCUCUAAAAUGAUCAAAAAUUUUUUGAAUUUAGGACAAAAGAGGAUAUUCUAAACCCUAGAAAGAAUGAUCUUCAGAAGGAAAAAUUACCCUGAAACGUGCCUCAAGUAUAAUCAGCUCUGUUCUUUAAACAUAGUAGUGUAUUGGGUCCUCCUGAUAGGGUUUUGGUUGAUACCAACUUUGUCAAUUUCUCUAUUCAGAACAAGUUGGAUUUGGAAAAGGCAAUGACAGAUUGCUUGUAUGCAAAAUGUGAGUCUUCUUCUUUUGCUCGAUAUACUUGAAUGGUACUCUGUGAUAUUUAUUGUGUCUGACUGGUUUGAUAUGCUUGUUUGUUUUACAUCGACUCAUUUGUGAUGGGAUGAAUUGGUGAUGGUUAUCGACAAAAAUUGCAAGGAUGAGCUGUUGCUGCAGAGUGGUUGAAAUCGAUUUUGGUGAUGUUAUGCUGAUGGGUUUGCUUGUAGAGGCGUGUAUUCUUGUGAUUAGUCAAUAAUUACUUCAGACUUGGACACAGAACCAUGGCUUAUCUUGUGAGGAUGACGAAGAGCGAGCAAGUCGUAGAGUGUACAGAGGCUGCUUUCAUUCUCAAACAUGUAGUGGCUGCACACGUGUGUUUGCUUCGGGUGUGAUUUGCGCCGGUUUUCAGACUGCAAUUGUCAGACUUGCACUGAUUUCACAACGAAUGCUAAACCUUAAAUCUUCAUAGUAAACUGUUUCCAAGACAAGGUAUUAUUUCCUUUUUGUCUUUUGGGCGGGUAUGGUUGCUAUGGCAUUGGGCUGUUCUUAUGCACAGAGCUUAAUAAAAAAAGUUACAAAAAUAUGACCAGUUGUAAUCUAUGACUAACUGUUACUAAUCGUUUCAGUAUUUUGUUGUAGGAUUUGUUAGUUGGGUUCUAUAUUACUUAUUGUAAUCUAUUUCCCUUUGUCUCAGUAGUGAGUUGUUUAUUGUGGUUCA